GACGAACGCUGGCGGCGUGCUUAACACAUGCAAGUCGAACGGAAAGGCCCUGCUUUUGUGGGGUGCUCGAGUGGCGAACGGGUGAGUAACACGUGAGUAACCUGCCCUUGACUUUGGGAUAACUUCAGGAAACUGGGGCUAAUACCGGAUAGGAGCUCCUGCUGCAUGGUGGGGGUUGGAAAGUUUCGGCGGUUGGGGAUGGACUCGCGGCUUAUCAGCUUGUUGGUGGGGUAGUGGCUUACCAAGGCUUUGACGGGUAGCCGGCCUGAGAGGGUGACCGGCCACAUUGGGACUGAGAUACGGCCCAGACUCCAACGGGAGGCAGCAGUGGGGAAUAUGGCACAAUGGGCGGAAGCGUGAUGCAGCAACGCCGCGUGCGGGAUGACGGCCUUCGGGUUGUAAACCGCUUUCGCCUGUGACGAAGCGUGAGUGACGGUAAUGGGUAAAGAAGCACCGGCUAACUACGUG
rnacentral:rRNA from 1 species